GACCGCGUAGCUCAGUUGGCAGAGCAUUGGGCUAGUAUUCCAAAGGUCGUAGGUUCGAUUCCCACCGUGGCG